GGCAACCACGGUGGAAGUUCAAAAGUUAGCCUGGUGCCUGGAGUGGGCCCCGUCCCCCACCCGGGUGGCGAGGGGGGCGAGGGCCCAGCUCUCGCUGGAGACUGAUACAGUUUCAAGACGGGGUCUCGCAGCGUCCAGGACCUCUCCGCGCACCUCCGUAUAAAGCUAUCAACUCGGCCAUUGGUCACAUUAGUUUAUUAGCCUCGUGUCUUUCACGCGUUUCCAUCUUCCCGUGUUUUCGCCGUGUUCACCGUGUUGUGCUCCACCACGUGUAUGAGUCCGUGUCACGUGCAUCCGUGCUCGGCGUUCCUCUGGAGACGCGCAUCAUGAAGGUGCAGUGGAAGUGGUUCUACGUCAUCCUGGUCACCUUUUUCCGCCAGAUCGUCGCCGAGCCUCCCGUCUACAGCGCCUACCCCCCUUCGGGCCAGGACGGGUACUCACCCCCUCCACACCCUCCCCGUCCCCCGCGACGAAGGACGAAGGCGAAGGGUACCACUACGCAACCCCCGUGCCGGCCGUAGAUCUAGGUCAAUACGAUGUCCCAGUCAGUACGUACAAGCCAGUCAUCCCGUACACAGCUAGUCCGGUGUACAGCACGCUGCCCAAGGCCGCGCAGGCGUACAGGCCGUACAAGAGGAAACCCUUCAAGUCCAUACUCUACUCGCGGGAGCACCUGUACAAGAAGUACGGCAAUAGUUUAGGCCCGUUCCCUUUCAAGUCCAGGCCCUCGCCCGACAUCACGGCGGCCAUUUUCAAGCCCAGGCCGCCGUCGCUGUCUUCGUCUGGGUACGCGACGGGAGGCUAUUCCAGGGGACCUAGCAGUUCUAGCGGCUCGUAUCAUAGCGGUUCUAGCGGCUUGUAUCCUAGUGGUUCUAGCGGCUCGUAUCCUAAGAGCCCGUACCCUACCGGCUACAAUGAAGUCUCGGUGAGUUUUUGCUUUGACUACGGGUAGUGGAAAGUGGACGUAAAGCACGUAUUUUGAGGUUAUUUGACUUGGAUUCUGGUCAUAGAGUACCAGAGACUAGAGACCCUCCACUGGCCUCUUGGCGACAGGUGGAAGCUUUCACUUUCGGGGAUUCAACAAUUCCUUAUUGAAAAUUAUAAGGGAGCAACAGGCAUCACCCUAAUUUCGGCAGUUGACGUACCUACAUGGUGGAUGAUGAGCUUCUGGUGACGUCAUGAGCCAAACAAGUUUCCCAAACUUGGGCCAUUUUCGGCUUGUUUGCAAAACG
rnacentral:lncRNA from 1 species